UUGAAGAGUUUGAUCAUGGCUCAGAUUGAACGCUGGCGGCAGGCCUAACACAUGCAAGUCGAGCGGUAGCACAGAGAGCUUGCUCUCGGGUGACGAGCGGCGGACGGGUGAGUAAUGUCUGGGAAACUGCCUGAUGGAGGGGGAUAACUACUGGAAACGGUAGCUAAUACCGCAUAAUGUCGCAAGACCAAAGUGGGGGACCUUCGGGCCUCAUGCCAUCAGAUGUGCCCAGAUGGGAUUAGCUAGUAGGUGGGGUAACGGCUCACCUAGGCGACGAUCCCUAGCUGGUCUGAGAGGAUGACCAGCCACACUGGAACUGAGACACGGUCCAGACUCCUACGGGAGGCAGCAGUGGGGAAUAUUGCACAAUGGGCGCAAGCCUGAUGCAGCCAUGCCGCGUGUGUGAAGAAGGCCUUCGGGUUGUAAAGCACUUUCAGCGGGGAGGAAGGCGGUGAGGUUAAUAACCUCAUCGAUUGACGUUACCCGCAGAAGAAGCACCGGCUAACUCCGUGCCAGCAGCCGCGGUAAUACGGAGGGUGCAAGCGUUAAUCGGAAUUACUGGGCGUAAAGCGCACGCAGGCGGUCUGUCAAGUCGGAUGUGAAAUCCCCGGGCUCAACCUGGGAACUGCAUUCGAAACUGGCAGGCUAGAGUCUUGUAGAGGGGGGUAGAAUUCCAGGUGUAGCGGUGAAAUGCGUAGAGAUCUGGAGGAAUACCGGUGGCGAAGGCGGCCCCCUGGACAAAGACUGACGCUCAGGUGCGAAAGCGUGGGGAGCAAACAGGAUUAGAUACCCUGGUAGUCCACGCCGUAAACGAUGUCGAUUUGGAGGUUGUGCCCUUGAGGCGUGGCUUCCGGAGCUAACGCGUUAAAUCGACCGCCUGGGGAGUACGGCCGCAAGGUUAAAACUCAAAUGAAUUGACGGGGGCCCGCACAAGCGGUGGAGCAUGUGGUUUAAUUCGAUGCAACGCGAAGAACCUUACCUGGUCUUGACAUCCACAGAACUUAGCAGAGAUGCUUUGGUGCCUUCGGGAACUGUGAGACAGGUGCUGCAUGGCUGUCGUCAGCUCGUGUUGUGAAAUGUUGGGUUAAGUCCCGCAACGAGCGCAACCCUUAUCCUUUGUUGCCAGCGGUUCGGCCGGGAACUCAAAGGAGACUGCCAGUGAUAAACUGGAGGAAGGUGGGGAUGACGUCAAGUCAUCAUGGCCCUUACGACCAGGGCUACACACGUGCUACAAUGGCAUAUACAAAGAGAAGCGACCUCGCGAGAGCAAGCGGACCUCAUAAAGUAUGUCGUAGUCCGGAUUGGAGUCUGCAACUCGACUCCAUGAAGUCGGAAUCGCUAGUAAUCGUAGAUCAGAAUGCUACGGUGAAUACGUUCCCGGGCCUUGUACACACCGCCCGUCACACCAUGGGAGUGGGUUGCAAAAGAAGUAGGUAGCUUAACCUUCGGGAGGGCGCUUACCACUUUGUGAUUCAUGACUGGGGUGAAGUCGUAACAAGGUAACCGUAGGGGAACCUGCGGUUGGAUCACCUCCUU
rnacentral:rRNA from 1 species